rnacentral:misc_RNA from 1 species
CACACUGUAGAGAGACGCUACGAAGAAGGAUUGAAUCAAGGCAUUAACAACUAACUGGCGACCUAAACUGCUGCCUACUAUCCGCCCAAUGAACGGCUAUUCCAUCGUACAAAUGUCACGUUAAUCCCCCAUACCUUUAAUUAGAGGCUCUUUCGUUUUCUAAUGUCAACUCAAGGAUCAAUCAAGUUCAAUCUUCAGUUAAAAACAAAAACAUGAAAAAAGAGAAAAAAAAAAAAUGGCAAAUCAUUAACCACCCACCUAUUAGCACAUUUGUAAUUUUCCAAAAAUUUUCAAAGACCUAAUCUUGUCACAACGAAGUUAUCAUGAAUCAAUCCACUGAUUAGACUCGACCUCAAGCUAGACCUACUAACUGGGAUUCAGCUGUCCUGAUACUAACCAGCAACACUUUUAUAGGGGCAGAAUGAGACAGCUGAAAUUGAUGCUGCAAACUUCAGCACAAUACUGUUAUAUCUUAGUUCUAUUCCAAGUAAUAAAUUUGAGUUGAAAAUUUUGCAAAAGCCCUCAAAUUUUUGUUUUUUCCUCGGAAAGGCUUAAAAGAAACCUUCAUUAUGCCAACAUAAUUCACAUCCUCUUUAUG